GAUGAACGUUGGCGGUGUGCCUAAUACAUGCAAGUCGAACGGAGACUGUAGCAAUACUGUCUUAGUGGCGAACGGGUGAGUAACGCGUUGGUGAUCUGCCUCGAAGUGUGGAAUAACCUCCCGAAAGGGAAGCUAAUACCGCAUAGUCUCUCAAGGUUUAGAAAAUUGAGAGUAAAGGAUUUAUUCGCUUCGAGAGGAGCCUGCGUCCCAUCAGCUGGUUGGUAGGGUAACGGCCUACCAAGGCAAUGACGGGGUAGGGACCGUGAGAGGGUGGCCCCCCACAAUGGAACUGAAACACGGUCCAUACACCUACGGGUGGCAGCAGUAGGGAAUAUUAGAAAUGGACGAAAGUCUGAUCUAGCGACACCGCGUGUGCGAAGAAGGCCCUUCGGGUUGUAAAGCACUUUUUGGAAGGAAUAGGAAGGAAGGUACUUCCAGAAUAAGUCUCGGCUAACUACGUG
rnacentral:rRNA from 1 species